CGGUGUGGUGUGAGUCGGGGUCGGGAACGAAUGAAGGAGGCGGUGCUGUUGUUGUAGAGUGGAUGGCGGCACUGUUUCUGUUAUCGCCGACUCGCCGAGAGAUAGGAGAAUUGUGGCUCUUUCACUGACGUGCUCGACUGAGAGAGAGGAAGGCGGCGAAGCUGUUGUUGUAGAGGAGAAGGCGGCGCUGCGAACCGGCGACGCUGUCGCCGAGAGAGAAGAGAUGUGCGGCGGCUGACUUGUGAAGUUGUGGAGGAGAUGUGCGGCGCAG
rnacentral:lncRNA from 1 species